AAGAAAGGAAAUUUAGAAAAAGGACCUUCCUAUUUCUUUCUUUCUUCUCUUUCUUUCUUUCUUCGGUUUCUUUCCUCCCGUUUCUUCACAAUACGCUUGAGCCGAACUGAUGCCCGUCUCUUGAUCUUGAUCACAGAGGGAAUGGAAGGAAGGAGAGGACACCGGCCCUAGACCGUACUCCAAACCACCAGAGGGAAUGGAAGGGAGGAGAAAGGACUCCCUCUCUCUCUUCUUCUUCUUCACAGAAGUAAAUCUCCCCUUCUGUCUGACAAUUUUCUUCUCAAGAAAAUUCUCAUCCUCUCAUCUUCAAGAUGAUACGGUGACCUCAAAUAGGCCAACGCUAAGAGGAGUUAAGAGGCGCUAUUGACCAAGCAUUAAAGAAUUCAUUUAUGGAUGAAUUUCAUAACGCUUGUUUCAAAACAAACGGUGGGAAAAAACUAGUGAAUCGAUGAAAACGUGCCAGAUUUCAAAGAUCUAAAUGAACCAGAAUGUAGCCGGUUCAAAACCGAACAUUCCGGUCCAGACGGCAAGCCGAACGGAGUCCGGAUGGUGGCAC
rnacentral:lncRNA from 1 species